rnacentral:siRNA from 1 species
ACGAAUGAGCAGGAAGCUUGAUUU